rnacentral:rRNA from 1 species
AGAGCGAACGCUGGCGGCGUGCUUAACACAUGCAAGUCGAACGAGAAAGUGGAGCAAUCCAUGAGUAAAGUAGCGCACGGGUGAGUAACACGUGACUAACCUACCUUUUAGUGGGGGAUAACCUAGGGAAACCUGGGCUAAUACCGCAUAACACUUACGAGUCAAAGCAGCAAUGCGCUGAAAGAGGGGGUCGCGGCCGAUUAGCUAGUUGGCGGGGUAAUGGCCCACCAAGGCAGUGAUCGGUAUCCGGCCUGAGAGGGCGCACGGACACACUGGAACUGAAACACGGUCCAGACUCCUACGGGAGGCAGCAGUGGGGAAUUUUGCGCAAUGGGGGAAACCCUGACGCAGCAACGCCGCGUGGAGGAUGAAGUCCCUUGGGACGUAAACUCCUUUCGAUCGGGACGAUAAUGACGGUACCGGAAGAAGAAGCCCGGCUAACUUCGUGCCAGCAGCCGC